ACAAAGAACCCCUAAAUCCCAACCCUAAAUCUCUCUCAACUCUAAGUCUUCUGCCGCCCUCCCCUCCCCCAUUCGGCCUCUCCGUCACUCGUCUGGUACAGCCUUGCGCCUCCCGCCGAUCGUUCCUUGCUCCACGCUGUCAACGUCGUUCUGCGUCCGGUUCCUGCGUCCGCUGGUCUGCUUGCUUCUUUGCUCUUCUCCGCCGCUUUCUCUGCUCCAGUCUUGCCGUCGGUGCUUCUCCUCGCCGCGUCCUCAGUCACUGCACGAUAAUCUUUUGAAGGAAGAGCUGUCUGCCGCUGCUCAAGCUGUAGGGGAAGUAAAUCUGGAGAAAAAAUUUGCAGCAGCGAGUGAAAGCCUGCGCCGAGGGAGAUUGAUUUUGUGAAUGAGAUGGUGCGGACUCUUGCUGGGAAUGGAACCAAAGGUUCUGACUAUAAAGGUGGAGGAAAAGGAACGACUCAGCUUCUCAACUCUCCAUGGGAUGUCUGCUAUGAGCCAGUCAAUGAAAAAGUCUAUAUUGCAAUGGCUGGACAGCAUCAGAUAUGGGAGCACAAUACUCUAGAUGGAGUUACUAUAGCUUUCAGUGGUGAUGGUUAUGAAAGAAACUUAAAUGGAUCAAGCUCCACUAGCACGUCAUUUGCACAACCUUCUGGAAUUUCACUAUCUCCUGAUUUGAAGGAGAUUUAUGUUGCUGAUAGUGAAAGUAGCUCCAUUCGAGCCCUUGAUCUGAAAACAGGAGGAUCAAGGCUGCUAGCUGGUGGUGAUCCAAUUUUCUGACAACUUGUUUAAGUUUGGUGACCAUGAUGGAAUAGGGUCUGAAGUGCUUCUUCAACAUCCACUAGGUGUAUUAUGUGCAAAGGAGGGUUACUGUACAAUUGUAGGACGUUGCCAUUAUUAUUUCGUUUAUCAUCUUGUAAUGGCAAGUUACAGUUCUCUUCUUCCUUUUUCCAGUUGACAAGGGCAUACUUUGCAUUCUUGGAGGUUCUGUUCAGCAGCCAUUUUAUUUUUUUAUUGAAUUUGGACACAAACACCUUCAUGCAUAUAGUUGGUUCUCUAGAAUCUGGUCUUAAAGGCCUGGAUACAAAUAUCUCAUCACAGUGUGCAUCUGCUGUUGAUAAUUUGGCUGCUUUCUAUUUCAAUAAUAUCACCAUGAGGGAGGCACCAACUUCACCUGCUGCAAUUAAUCUUGCUCGACAUAUUGUGGACUGCCCCAGUUUAUUUCCAGAAGUAAGCUGUUACAUUCUUUAUUAUAAAGGUCAUGUUCACUUAUGCCUUUUGAAAAGGAAAGAGAGGGGGGCGGUGGAUGUUCGUUCUAGGGAAGGACAAUAUUAGAAUCAAUUUGCUUUCUUUUCUCAUGUUACCAACUUCAUCAUUUAGUUGAUACAUGCUAUCCUUUGGAAUCCGUGUGAAAUAGCUCGAAUGUUGCAUAUUGCUACCUGUUUAGGGAUUGCAUUUUACCUCCAGAUACUGUGUUCGAAGAAGCCCAAGUACCUUACAUUAAUUUGACCAGUAAGCUUGGACCAUGUUUGUUGUUGGAGAGGAGCUUCUUUUGAUGCAGUAUCUAUAUUUGUUGCCAAAUCAUUAAGAAGAAGAAGGUUCCUUUUUGAAAGGAUACUGGAAGUGUAAUACACAAUGAUGAGGGGAUUACCAAAGACUUGCAGAAGCUAGUGGUGGGUUUGAUAGUAGUCUAUGUUUAGGGUAUUUAUUCUUUCUGAAACAAAGAUGUAAAUCAUUCAUGGGAUUAUGUUUUAAAGGUGGUGACAAGUAGAUUUAUUUGUACAUUAACCUCAAAUAAUUCUUUUGUAUUUGUUGAUAAUAGAAAGAAAAGGAAUGAUAUUUUAGUGUGCAA